rnacentral:lncRNA from 1 species
AACCUUUGCUGUCUUGGAACAGAUCACCACUGCAAGAGGGGAAGUUGCUACUGUGAUGAAUUCUGCCAUGUGGUACCAGACUGCUACCCAGACCACAGUGUCCUCUGCAACCCUCGUCAAAGGUGCCUACAUGUUCCUUCUAGCUUUGUUUCCCUGAUGUUCCUUGCCACCUGCUACUCCUCUCUGAGCUACUUUUCCAGCUUCUCAGAUGACCAAGAUGGUGCUGCAGAUGGUGCUGAGGAUGGAGAACCCACCAAGCCCCGCUAGGAGCCACCUAGACUGGAUGUAGAGCAUGGUGAGCUCCCUGCAGGUUCUCUGAGAAGGGGUGGAUGGCAGCCUGCUCCUUGCCUUUGUGGCCUCCAGACCCCAAAGUCAGGGAACCAAAAGAAGAAAGGGGCCAUAGCUAGGGCAGAGCUCCACUGCAAUGAUUGUUUUAGGGGUAGGAGCCAGGAUUGCUGUCUGUGGACACUGAAAUUUGAAUCUCAUAUACUUUUCAUGUGUGACAAAACAUUAUUCUUCUUUUGUUCUUCUCCUACCAUCUAAAAAUGUAGAAAACAUUCUUAACCUAUGAGUUGCACAAAAACAGGCAGUGGCCAGAUUUGGCCCAUAGACCAUAGUUUGCUGACUUCUGCCCUAAAUCAUCCUCCAUUUCUUUCCUUCUGUGUCCUUGUUACUGAC